AGUAGCAAAUAUUCAAACGAGAGCUUUGAAGGCCGAAGUGGAGCAGGGUUCCAUGUGAACAGCAGUUGAACAUGGGUCAGUCGGUCCUAAGCGAUAGGCGAGCGCCGUUCCGAAAGGGCGGGCGAUGGCCUCCGUUGCCCUCGGCCGAUCGAAAGGGAGUCGGGUUCAGAUCCCCGAAUCCGGAGUGGCGGAGACGGGCGCCGCGAGGCGCCCAGUGCGGUGACGCAACCGAUCCCGGAGAAGCCGGCGGGAGCCCCGGGGAGAGUUCUCUUUUCUUUGUGAAGGGCCGGGCGCCCUGGAAUGGGUUCGCCCCGAGAGAGGGGCCCGCGCCUUGGAAAGCGUC
rnacentral:ncRNA from 1 species